CAGACAUUCAGUAGCUGUGUAACCUAGGAAUUAGCACAGUGCCUGGAGCACAGUGAUAAUAAAUGUUCCUUGAUUGAUCUACAUUGGCAUAAGGUCCUCGAAUCUAGGAACUGAGGUGGGGGUGGAGAUAUAAUAUGCACGCAGAUAAGUAAAUACAAAUCAGCUGCUAUCACUUCCUAUUUUUGAGAGGAUCAGAAUCAGAAAAGGCUUCAAAGGAAGAAGAGCACCAGGGCUGAGCCUAAAAUGCAGAUAAGGAUCCUGAGAGGAAGACAUGCACUUUACAAUGCCCAGAGGAGGGCUUCUGCAGAUACACUGAAACAGGAGACAGAAUGACAGUUUGGGGCUGAAUUUCGAUGUCUUGCAAGGUUAGAGAAAGAGCAAAGGCACAAGAGGAACAGACUUUUCCAGCAUAUCCAGACCCUUCAGGAAAUCACAGAGUGAAAGGGCGGACAAUGAAAAGCGCAGGAGAGCUGAAAGGGUGGGUAAGAGCACUGAAGCACCUGCAGCCUUCAUCGGGCUACCUGGAUGGUUCUAAAAGCCAGAAGAGGGACAGAAGUCUACAGUAAUGGUUAAUACACUAAUAGAGAGGUCCAUCCUUCAAGUACAAAGGCAGGAAAGAUGAGGAGAGUGCUCUACUUUUACUGAGGUUUAAUUGGAUGUGUAGUUUAGGGUUUUUUUUUUUGUAUUCACAGUCCAUAUUCUUGUUAGAUAAGACAUAAUGUCAGUUCAGUACCAAUGGAUGGAAGUUACAAGAAGACUGCCUGAUUUCAGCCUGAUGCAUGGAAGGACUUCCUAACAAUUAGAGCUGGUUGAAAUGUUAUCCUUCGAAGUAUCUAGUGCUUGUCAAUGAAAGCAGCUCCUUGGCCCUGGAGGGCUUCAGGCAAAGGAUGGAUGAUCACUUAUCCAGGAUGUGGGAGAAG